CCUACGGGUGGCAGCAGUGGGGAAUAUUGGACAAUGGGCGAAAGCCUGAUCCAGCCAUGCCGCGUGUGUGAAGAAGGCCUUCGGGUUGUAAAGCACUUUCAGUGGGGAAGAAAGCCUUGGGGCUAAUACCCUCGAGGAAGGACAUCACCCACAGAAGAAGCACCGGCUAACUCCGUGCCAGCAGCCGCGGUAAUACGGAGGGUGCGAGCGUUAAUCGGAAUUACUGGGCGUAAAGCGCGCGUAGGCGGUCUGAUAAGCCGGUUGUGAAAGCCCCGGGCUCAACCUGGGAACGGCAUCCGGAACUGUCAGGCUAGAGUGCAGGAGAGGAAGGUAGAAUUCCCGGUGUAGCGGUGAAAUGCGUAGAGAUCGGGAGGAAUACCAGUGGCGAAGGCGGCCUUCCGGACUGACACUGACGCUGAGGUGCGAAAGCGUGGGUAGCAAACAGGAUUAGAUACCCGGGUAGUC
rnacentral:rRNA from 1 species